GAUUCGAGUGAGAGAGAACCCCUGCCCGAGUGAGCCUGAGCGACUGAGGUGUCCGAGCUAUUUCCGGCGAAGUUCCUGACCCAAUGCUUGUUCGAAACGUUGUCCGAGCACUGAUCAGGAUCCACCCUUAUCACCUUCCUUACCUCAAUAGAUGUCUGACAGACCUGAUUGUCAUUGUCAAACGCUUGCGAUAUUCUUCAUUUUGAACUUUUGUUUGUUUGAUAAAGCAUUUUGUAUACUUUGUUUUUGAUCAUUUAGGGCAAUGCAUCUUCUUAAAGCUUCAUUAUGAUUGAGUACUUAUUUGUAUCCCAACAUGAUGAAUGUCGAAUCUUUUCAACAACUUUCUUUCAAUUCUUAAAAU
rnacentral:lncRNA from 1 species